AUUGAACGCUGGCGGCAUGCCUUACACAUGCAAGUCGAACGGCAGCACGGGAGCAAUCCUGGUGGCGAGUGGCGAACGGGUGAGUAAAGUAUCGGAACGUGCCCAGUCGUGGGGGAUAACGUAGCGAAAGUUACGCUAAUACCGCAUACGAUCUAUGGAUGAAAGCGGGGGAUCGCAAGACCUCGCGCGAUUGGAGCGGCCGAUAUCAGAUUAGGUAGUUGGUGGGGUAAAGGCUCACCAAGCCGACGAUCUGUAGCUGGUCUGAGAGGACGACCAGCCACACGGGGAAUGAGACACGGCCCAGACUCCUACGGGAGGCAGCAGUGGGGAAUUUUGGACAAUGGGCGAAAGCCUGAUCCAGCCAUGCCGCGUGCAGGAUGAAGGCCUUCGGGUUGUAAACUGUUUUUGUACGGAACGAAAAGGUUUGGGCUAAUAAGCUGAGCUCAUGACGGUACCGUAAGAAUAAGCACCGGCUAACUACGUACCAGCAGCCGCGGUAA
rnacentral:rRNA from 1 species